AGGGGUAUCGUAUAAUGGUAAUAUAGAGGUCUCCAAAACCUUUGAUGUGGGUUCGAUUCCUACUACCCCUG
rnacentral:tRNA from 11 species